UACAGAGGUCUCAAGCGUUGUUCGGAUUCAUUGGGCGUAAAGGGUGCGUAGGCGGCGCGGUAAGUCGGGUGUGAAAUCUUGGAGCUUAACUCCGAAACUGCAUUCGAUACUGCCGUGCUUGAGGACUGGAGAGGAGACUGGAAUUUACGGUGUAGCGGUGAAAUGCGUAGAUAUCGUAAGGAAGACCGGUGGCGAAGGCGGGUCUCUGGACAGUUCCUGACGGCUG
rnacentral:rRNA from 1 species